AAUCCCCUCAUUUUCAUGGAAGGGGGCUGGCCAGGAUUGGGGGCCUGCCACCCUGAGCCCCAGUGGGCUGGUUUGCAAGCCAGGGAGUGAAUGCCAGAGUGGAUAAAAGCAGCAGCCAAACUGGUGUGUGGGGGCUGCUGACAGUGACUCCUGGGAAUGAUGCAGGAGGCCCAAGAAGAGCUGGGGAGAGCUGACCCAGCAGAGGGAGCAGAGACACCCCUCUGAAGAGCCUCAAAGGCCCUGGGAGAAGAAGUCAGCGGCAGUGGGCUGUGCCUCCACCCCUGCAGCAGAAAAAGAGCAGUGGCCAGGGUUUGGGGCAGACAGCUGGUGCCCCAAGGGCCCAUCGCAGUGUGCUGGAUGUGUUGGGUGUCCCAGAGGCUAGGGUGGCAGUCGGCCCCCCACUCCACUGCAGAAAAGCAGCAGCAGCCAGGAGUGCAGGCAGCAUCCUUAUCCAGAGCACGGAGCUGGUCUGGGCCAUUCUGAGACAACCGUGCUACUCAUCUUCUAGCUAGCCUCUAUUUGCAAUUAGAAUGAACUUUGUUUACUGUGGUAAGGAUAGCCUUGGAGCAGGAUCUCAAAGAAUGAGUGCCACAACAAGCAUACUCCUACAGGAUGCUGAUAUAAUUUGGCUGACUGCAUUGGAGAGUUCAUCUCUGGGCCAGUUGGGUCAAAGCAGUGGAAUGCUGGAAUGCCCCAAGGAAUGACAAGGUUGAACGGUUAUAAACUCCUCCAAGACCAUUUCAGACUGGACAUACGGAAGAACUUCUUUACUGUCUGAGCCCCUGAAGUCUGGAAUAGCCUGCCACCAGAGGUGGUUCAAGCACCUACUUUGAAUGCCUUCAAGAGAAAUCCGGAUUUUUUCUUGCUGGGAUCCUAUGACCCCAGCUGACUUCCUGCCCCUGGGACAGGGGGCUGGACUCGAUGAUCUUCUAAGGUCCCUUCCGGCCCUAAUGUCUAUGAAAUCUGUGAAACAUAUUUAAUAUAUGAGAAAAUUUAAUCUGCAACAAACUGCUGCUGAAAGCCCUUUCUUCAUUUCCAACAGGAAUUUUUGGAGCUGUGCUAUUGUAGUAUGCAAUUUUUUAUAAAAUAUUCUGCAUAGACUCAAAAUUGCAAUUUAUCAUUACCAUUUAUCAUCUGUGUUAGCAUCAGAUCCAUAAUUACAUUAAUGAAAACUUCAUAAUUCUUAUUGAAAUUAUGACAUUAAGGAGUUGAGCAUUAUUAUAAUAAAUGUUUUUCAUUUGCCUACUUCAUGCCUUGAUGAUACAAAAUAUUUUAUGAUAAAUAUUUUUUUUUUCUAAGUAGAUGAAGAAAAUAAACUACAGACCAUUACACAACUAGAGGGAUGCAAACACAAUGAAUUGCAAGUGACCUUACAAUAUUAUUGGUAUAACAUUGUGAUCUACAUUUCUUCCUACUGCCACAGAAUUUAAAAGAAAUCAAGGGGGGAGGGGCAUUCAGAUGUAAUCCAUAAACCAGUGAGGCCAGGUACAGUCAUUACACUUUUACCGGUAGUACCAGUCUAUACCUGUAAUAGAAGAGAAGUCUGGUGCAUACAGGCUGGUUUAAAAAUGGUAGAACACACAUUUACCCCCCACCUCCCAGCAACACACUUAAGGGUGAAUGUGUGUUCUGUUUGAAACUGAUCUAAACUAUGCCACUUACAGCAAAACACAUAACUUAAUCAAUUCUGCUUCAAGCUUUUUCAAUGUCUACAUCUAACAUGAAUUAGAAAGAAAAUAUGAGGUCAUAAAGGAACAAGCUCAGAAGUGAUAUGUAAAAUGGUGUAAAUAAAAACUUACA